CACUCAUCUUCCUGCUCUCUGAGCUCUCCGAUUUAUCACCUCCAAGAGCCAAUGGGAAAAUCCUUCGACGUGGGAGCGGUACCCUUCAACGCCGACGGCUGGGGUCCGCCGGACGCCGCCGCAGGAGGGACGAACAAUAACCUCCCUCUCAACGUCCCCUUCGCCCCCUUCUCCCGCUCCGACAAACUGGGCCGCAUCGCCGACUGGACCCGCAACUUCAACAACCCGGCCCGGUCCAAGAACCCGGCCGACUCCGUCUUCGACUUCACCAACGACGACUCCUUCCCGGCCUCGGCCGACGACGACGCCUCCUUCCGCCUUGUCGACGGCAAGCCCCCGCCGCGGCCGAAGUUCGGUCCUAGGUGGCGCUUCCAGCAGCAGCGGCAGCUCCCGCAGCGGCGCGACGAGGAAGUGGAGGCUCGCAAGCGCGAAGCCGAGAAGGACCGUGCGCGACGCGAUCGGCUCUACCACAUGAACCGGUCAAACCCUAACCAGCAGCGGCGCGAAGCGGCGGUGUUCAAAUCCUCCGUUGACAUCCAACCCGAGUGGAACAUGCACGACCAGAUCCCCUUCUCCACCUUCUCCAAACUCUCCUUCACCGUCCCUGAGCCCGAGGAUCUUCUCCUCUGCGGCGCCCUCGAGUACUACGACCGCUCCUACGACCGCAUAACCCCCAAAAACGAGCGCCGCCUCGAGCGUUUCAAGAAUCGCAACUUCUUCAAAGUCACUACCACCGAUGACCCCGUCAUCCGCCGACUCGCCAACGAGGACAAAGCCACCGUCUUCGCCACCGACACUAUCCUCUCCACCCUCAUGUGCGCUCCCAGGUCUGUUUAUUCAUGGGACAUUGUCGUCCAGCGUGUCGGGAACAAGCUCUUCUUCGACAAGCGCGAUGGGUCGCAGCUUGACUUGCUCUCCGUCCACGAGACCUCGCAGGAGCCCUUGCCGGAGGCCAAGGAUGACAUUAACUCCGCUCAUUCUCUCAGCGUCGAGGCUGCUUAUAUCAACCAGAAUUUCUCGCAGCAGGUUCUGAUUAGGGACGGGAAUAAGGUCACUCUUGAUGAGGCUAAUCCUUUUGCUAAUGAAGGGGAGGAGGUCGCUUCCGUUGCUUAUAGGUAUCGUAGGUGGAAGCUUGAUGAUGAUAUGUAUCUUGUUGCCAGGUGUGAGGUGCAUAGUGUGGUUGAUGUGAAUAAGCAGAGGUCGUUCCUUACUUUGAAUGCUUUGAAUGAGUUUGAUCCUAAGUAUUCUGGUGUGGAUUGGAGGCAGAAGUUGGAGACUCAGAGGGGUGCUGUGUUGGCCACUGAGCUUAAGAAUAAUGCGAAUAAGUUGGCUAAGUGGACUGCUCAGGCUCUGUUGGCCAGUGCGGAUAUGAUGAAGUUGGGUUAUGUGUCGAGGAUUCAUCCCCGUGAUCAUUUUAAUCAUGUGAUUUUGGCUGUGGUGGGGUAUAAGCCAAGGGACUUUGCGGCGCAGAUUAAUUUGAACACCGCGAAUAUGUGGGGGAUUGUCAAGUCUAUUGUGGAUUUGUGUAUGAAAUUGAAUGAGGGGAAAUAUGUGCUUGUGAAGGAUCCUUCUAAGCCUCAGGUUAGGAUUUAUGAGGUUCCAGCGGAUGCUUUUGAGAAUGACUAUGUGGAGGAGCCACUUCCGGAGGAGGAACAAGUUCAGCCUCCGGCGGAAGGUGCCGAGGGAGGAGAGGCAGCUGCUACCACUAAUGACGUGGAAGAUAAGCCUGUAGAUGAUAAAGCGACUUAAAAGUUACUCACUUUAUAUCCAUGUAUUGGUCGGUUUUUUUAGAAGAAUCAAACUGAACUUAUCCACUUUGUAAAGAUGGAUCAGAAGUCAUAAUUUGGAUCUUGCAUUCUGAUGACGUGAGUUUUUGGCUCGGGGCAGGUCAGUUGUUGCUGGAGUUGAUGGCCGUUCAUAUGGGAGCAGAUCGCACUUGAAUCAUUUUCAUUUUCCCACUGUUUAUAUGUCGGUCAAAAUUUUGCAUUUUAACUUCGUGAUGUUCCUUUUGGACCAAAAGUAACAUGAGUUUUUUUUAUGCUACAGCUGUUUAUGAUUUGCAGACCUUAGCAUAUUUAAAGUGGAAUCACCAAAUUGUAUUACGUAUUUGGACUCCAGGGCUAUUAAGAUAAUUCAUGAGUUUAAUAUUUUAUUUUGCUUA